CCUCAGCCUCCCAAAGUGCUGGGAUUAUAGGCGUGAGCCACCGCGCCUGGCCUCAUCACUCUUAAAUAAUGAAAAACUAAAUUUUUAGAGGAAAAAGAAAAUCACAGGACCCUGUGAAGGAAGAUUUUUAAAUGCAAGCUUAAAUGGAUCCUGCAGCCAUAGAGAAAUAAAUUCUGCCUGAGGGAGCUUGCAAGUGAAUCUUCCCAGGCUCACCUGAGAAUGCAUGAUGAGAGUGCAGCCCAGCAGCCACCUUGACUGCAGCCUUGUGAGACAUCAAGCAGAGGACCCAACUAAGUUGUGCCCACACUUCUGACUCACAGAUACUUUGAAAUAAUAAAAGUACAUUGUUUUACCUUGCUGCUCA
rnacentral:sRNA from 1 species